rnacentral:tRNA from 1 species
GCGAAUAUAGUUUAAUGGCAGAACUUCAGCUUCCCAAGCUGAUAGCGUGGGUUCGAUUCCCAUUAUUCGCUCCA